rnacentral:rRNA from 1 species
CCUACGGGGGGCUGCAGUGGGGAAUAUUGCACAAUGGGCGCAAGCCUGAUGCAGCCAUGCCGCGUGUGUGAAGAAGGCCUUCGGGUUGUAAAGCACUUUCAGCGGGGAGGAAGGCGUCAAGGUUAAUAACCUUGUCGAUUGACGUUACCCGCAGAAGAAGCACCGGCUAACUCCGUGCCAGCAGCCGCGGUAAUACGGAGGGUGCAAGCGUUAAUCGGAAUUACUGGGCGUAAAGCGCACGCAGGCGGUCUGUCAAGUCGGAUGUGAAAUCCCCGGGCUCAACCUGGGAACUGCAUUCGAAACUGGCAGGCUAGAGUCGUGUAGAGGGGGGUAGAGUUCCAGGUGUAGCGGUGAAAUGCGUAGAGAUCUGGAGGAAUACCGGGGGCGAAGGCGGCCCCCUGGACAAAGACUGACGCUCAGGUGCGAAAGCGUGGGGAGCAAACAGGAUUAGAUACCCGGGUAGUC